GACUCUCGGCAAUGGAUAUCUCGGCCCUCAUAUUGAUGAAGAAUAUAGCGAAAUAUGAUACUUGGUGUGAAUUAUAGAAUCACGUGAACCAUCAAUUUUUUGAACACAAGUUGUGCCCAAAGCCAUUAGGUCGAGGGCACGUCUGCCUAGGCAUCA